GUAACACCAAAGGACCCCCCUUCUCCGUUCAUUUCAAUCAGCAAUCAAUGUUCUUUCACCAAAACCACGCACACAAGCAGCCAUAAACAUGACCUUAGCCCCUAGCUUCACCCUCUUCAGCCACGAAACCUGCUGAAAUCUCCGUGAAACAGUUCGGAAAGCAUCGUCCAAAAUAGAGUAGAUCAGAGGUGUCGAUUCGAGGUUCGUCUCUGAAUUUUGUCGCGGUUCCUACGAGUUUCAAGUCUGGAUCGUAGUUCCAUUUGAGGCUCCGGCGGUGUUGCCCUUAGAAUUUUCUGGCCAUUGUUCAUGUAUUACGGCAAAGAUUCUGACUCUGCACUUGCUUCUAUAUACAAAGGUUCAUAUCUCUUUCUCAUUUAUUUUUCUGUCUAAAGAUGUUGAUCAGAAAGUGUUGAAAGUUUAGGAAUAAAAAUCAUUAAGUUGUAGUGCUAGUACAGGCAGGUUUUGUAUUGCACAAUUACGGGAGGUAGGUUCAUAGCAACAUUGAGCUCUUUGGCAUCAAUGGUUCCAGAGUUUUCUGUAUUAAAAAGCUCAAACAUCUCUUUUAUUUCUUGCCUUUUUUGUUGAGUUAACCCCUGAUUACAUCCUCUGGGUUUCUCUCUCCAUAAUGCCCUCUGUAAAGGCUUGUUGUUGAGCUAUCCGCUGAUAAAGACUUAGAAUGAUGAGAGGGAGAUCUAGGAGAUGAUCAUCUGGGUGGAGGUGUACUGCUACUUCUAAGAGGAGGAAACGCGUUGGACUAUUUCUGAAACUGCAAAAGAAUCUAAAAAUAAUUUUCUGUGUUCCACAUUUAGGGGAGUUAGCUUUUUAAUUGUAAAUUAGACUUGGAUAAAUAUGUCUAAUGGUUAGGUAAAUACGAUCUGGCUUAGUAUUACUUAGUCUAGAAUUAAAAAGAUCAAGAAUUAUCUUUGUUGCUUAUUUUCUUCUAUUGAGUCGUGGGGCUGGACCAAAUAAAAAAUUUUGAAUUUAUCUUGUUAAUUAGCACGUUCUUAAUUUAUCGUCGUGAUUGCAUACACAUUUAUGAGCAUAUGACUUUUACCCGAUUGAAAUAGGCUCCUACACGACUCUCAAAAUUUAGGAUUUUUCUUAAAUAUUUGGUAAUUUUUAGAAUUUCUUAUUUAAUUGUGUGCUAGUGCGUGUUUAUUGAUGCAUGUUUAAAACUGUUUAGGAUUUAGUUUUUAAUAGAUUUUUUUUUACAAAUUAAAAUAAAAAAGAAGUAUAUUUCCAGCAUUUUUAAUUGUUAUUAUUUUUGUUUAAACUUGUUACAUUUUUAUUUGUGAUAAUUAGGAAUUUUUGGUUUAUAAAUUAAGUUAGAAAUUAAUUUAAAUAAAAAUAAAUUAAUCCAAACCUGCUUCCCCUUAAAAAACACAUAGUCCCAGCCCAAAUAACCAAUCCCUGUUUUUAAAUAAAGUUAUAUCUAUAUAUAUAUAUAUAUAUGUGUGUGUGUGUGUGUGUGUGUGUGUGUGUGUGUGAGUAUACACAACCACUCAGGCUGACCACGAUUGGGCCAGACCUGAGUGGCCCAAACCUGUUUCCCCUUUAAAAAAAUACACAACCCAGCCCAAACCACCAAUCCUGGUCCGGUCUACACAAGACCAACCCAAACGACACCGUUUGAAGACCAAUCAUCACAGCCGUCGAUCAUGUCCACAUCCAACGGUCCUAAAGCCUGCCCAAGUUUUGGAUAUAUAUGUCCAAACGCCUCUAAUACACUUAGAGACCAAACCCUUCCCUUCCUCGUACCAUCUUCCCCGGCGUAACGCCGCCCUUGACCAUCCCUUGACCACCCCACGACCACCAUUGACCGCCCACCUACCACCCUAAUGCCGCCGCCGGAAAUCGCCUCACGGCAGCGGCCGGUAACCAAACCUCCCCAGAUUUACACCACCAAACCGUCACAACCUCCUCUUUCCCGCCCUGUGGUUAGUUCCCGUCGAAUAAACCCCCUCCGUUCAAAUAUUCGAAAAAAAGAUCGUCGGAACUACCGUCUCUGGCGACCCUGUUCCAAACCCCUCCAGCUUUACACCAUAGAACCACUAGGACCUCCCCUUCCAUAUCCUACAGUCCUUUCACUUCGAAUCCCCCCAUCGGCUCAAAUAUUCACAGAAAGGUCGUUGGAAUCCCCAUCUCUGGCGACCCAACUCCAAACCUCUCCAAACUUACACCCCUGAAACAACUCAAUAUCCCCUUUCCAACCAUAUGUGUCACACCUUUCGAAUGUGCCUGAAAUGUGUUGAAUAUCAAUUUGAAAUCCAACCCUAAAACCCCAACCCUGUUAGAAUUUGGUCAAACUCCUCCCAGGCAACCCUUGGCCUUUCCCCUCCCCAACCAUGCCACCCACGACUCCCAAACAACCCCAAUCAAUGAAAAAAUCCAGAUCAGAGACCUCAUUGGGGUCUCAAAAUCACAAAACCCUUUCGUGAACUCUAAACCGGUUAUACAUCAUUGCCAGUAUCCUAGGAGGUUAAAAACUUCUACAAAAGGGGUCCAGAACCAACAAAUUUAGCUCAAGUGGAUAUGCAUGUGUGAAACAAAAGCUAAAUAGUUUAUCAGUUUCUGUAUAUAUUUGCUUCACUUCUAUUCGCUCUUAGAUGUUUGACUUCUUUCAAAUAAUUGUUUGUUUACAAUCUUGCCUGAAAUAGGUUUAAAUUGUCAUACGCUUUAUUUGCCAAUAAUCCAAAAUUUCUUCAUCUCCUAAGUAGUUGUGAUAUCAUUUUAUGCAUUAGCCAUCUGAUCCUGAAAGCUUAGUUUGUUAAAUCCUUUGGUAGUAUAACUUCUAUGAUUGUUGACCUUCAUCUCAUGAUCCUCAUCUGUUUUGUUCCCUGAUGUUCUGCUUAGUUUGAUUAGUUGUUCAUGCUACUGAGUGCUUGAUUCUCAUUCCACAAUAACUUUGAUCUUCAGUACUUAUACAUAAUUAAGCUAUUCUUUCCCGCUGAACCUUUACUUGCUUCCUAAUUUGGCUCAUAAACUAAGUAUUCACUCCCUGUUAUGUGUUUCUCAUUUUCAUGUAUCUCUGAGUACUUUGAUUUGAGCUAUUUCUGAAAAAUUAAGUGUUAAUGGGUAUUUUCAUCCUUUUGGUUAUUUUUAUCCUUGAUUUAUUAUUGAAUAAUCACCCUGUAUAGUGUGAAAAUCACAUUCCGGCACUUGUUUUAGAACCUGACUAGUUUUGGCUGAUUUUGAACUUUGAUAAGCUUGUUAGUCCAAGAUUGAAAUGUGACCCAAACUUGAUUGACCUGGGUCAAUUGUAACUAAACCAGGGUCAAGGAAUAGUUGAGGUUAAGAACUUCAGGUGGGUAAUUUAGGAAAGGAUGUAGGGGUAUAAGAGGGAUUUGAACCUUAAGGAAUCUGAUAGUAAUCCCCAGAACCUUCUAGUAACUAACUUCAGGUGGGUAAUUUAGGAAAGGAAGUAGAGGUAUAAGAGGGAUUUGAACCUUAAAAAAUCUGAUAAUAAUCCCCAGAACCUUCUAGUAAGGGGACUAAAACACAAUUUCUACCUCAAACUUGAGGCACAAGUCAGGAAAUGAAGGACCAUUUAAGAAAAGUGCAAAACUGAAGCAAGGACCAAAAGAAAAACAAGAGAAAAGCUGAUGCCCUAAGGCUCCAUUAUAAAAGAAACCAAAUGAGCACAUUUUAGAGGAUCCGGAACCUUUCCUUUUAAUUCUAUAGAUAAAAAUACAUACUAGUUUUUCUUAUAUCUGGGAGACACCAUCAGUGCUGUUUGAAUCAUUUUUGAAGACUUAAUUCUCUCAAAAAACUCUAUUGAAAUCCUGGAUGCACUGUUUGAUUGGCUACUGCUUGCUUAGCUGAUUCAUUACAUUUGCUCAUAGUUUGCUUUUUCUGCUGAAUUACAGGUACCUCCAAUGUUCCUUAUUGUAUUGAAGCUCAAGUAAAAUGCAUUUUUAGUAUGAAGAUCUGCUUCUAUUUUUCAUUUUUGUUUUGAAUCCCCACCCUGUUCUUCCCCUCCUUUAGUGUUAAUAUACUCAUUUUGUUGUAAUUAAACAUUUGGACUGUUUCACUCUGUAAUAACUGAACAUUAGAGACUGAUUUAUCCUGUAAUAACUGGACAUUCAGACUAUUUUUAAGUAUGUACAAUCGAUAAUGCUGUUAGUUAAGGUAUGGCAGUUUUAGGUGAAUAUUUCCUGUUUUGUUUAGAAAUAAAGGAUUUAGAAAUGUUUAGCUUAGUAAUUAUUUGAAAGCCAAAACUUUGUGUACUAUUU
rnacentral:lncRNA from 1 species